CCUACGGGGGGCAGCAGUGGGGAAUAUUGGACAAUGGGCGAAAGCCUGAUCCAGCCAUGCCGCGUGUGUGAAGAAGGCCUUCGGGUUGUAAAGCACUUUCAGUGGGGAAGAAAGCCUUGGGGCUAAUACCCUCGAGGAAGGACAUCACCCACAGAAGAAGCACCGGCUAACUCCGUGCCAGCAGCCGCGGUAAUACGGAGGGUGCGAGCGUUAAUCGGAAUUACUGGGCGUAAAGCGCGCGUAGGCGGUCUGAUAAGCCGGUUGUGAAAGCCCCGGGCUCAACCUGGGAACGGCAUCCGGAACUGUCAGGCUAGAGUGCAGGAGAGGAAGGUAGAAUUCCCGGUGUAGCGGUGAAAUGCGUAGAGAUCGGGAGGAAUACCAGUGGCGAAGGCGGUCUUCUGGACUGACACUGACGCUGAGGUGCGAAAGCGUGGGUAGCAAACAGGAUUAGAUACCCCUGUAAUC
rnacentral:rRNA from 1 species